GUUAUCUGGCGUUACAUUCAGAGGUAAUCUUCGAGCACAGGUUAAUUUAAAGAUUGGACCGUACGAUUUUAUUCCGCAAGCAGAGAAUAUUAGAGAAAUGUAUCUUCCACUUGUAUGGCUGAAUGAGAGUGCAACCAUCCCGGUGGAAUAUUCGGAUCUAUAUCAUAAUUACAUUCAGAUUCCUCAGUAUGUAUUGCUUGCAAUCAUCGUACUACUCAUAUCAGUAGGGGGUGGCAUCGUCGUUGGUCUCAUCAAUUUCCUCGUCUGGCGAUCAUGGAGAGCAAGACAGAACGGAUUACAUGGUGAUUUA